UACGGGGGGGGUAAGCGUUGUUCGGAAUUACUGGGCGUAAAGGGCUCGUAGGCGGCCAACUAAGUCAUACGUGAAAUCCCUCAGCUUAACUGGGGAACUGCGUGUGAUACUGGAUGGCUUGGAUUUGGGAGAGGGAUGCGGAAUUCCAGGUGUAGCGGUGAAAUGCGCAGAUAUUAGGAGGAACACCGGUGGCGAAGGCGCCGCUCUGGGCCGAAACUGACGCUGAGGAGCGAAAGCAUGGGUAGCAAACAGG
rnacentral:rRNA from 1 species